rnacentral:rRNA from 1 species
UCGGGAAUUUUGGGCAAUGGGGGAAACCCUGACCCAGCAACGCCGCGUGGAGGAUGAAGUAUUUCGGUAUGUAAACUUCGAAAGAAUAGGAAGAAUAAAUGACGGUACUAUUUAUAAGGUCCGGCUAACUCCGUGCCAGCAGCCGCGGUAAGACGGAGGGCGCAAGCGUUGUUCGGAAUUACUGGGCGUAAAGCGCGGGCAGGCGGUCUGUUAAGUCGUUUGUGAAAAUCCGGGGCUCAACCCCGGAAAUGCAUACGAUACUGGCAGGCUGGAGACUGGUAGAGGCUAGCGGAAUUCCUGGUGUAGCGGUGGAAUGCGUAGAUAUCAGGAAGAACACCUGUGGCGAAGGCGGCUAGCUGGGCCAGUUCUGACGCUCAUCCGCGAAAGCGUGGGGAGCAAACAGGAUUAGAUACCCCCGUAGUCCCUGAGCGGGCUGGCAAGGCGCAU